rnacentral:rRNA from 1 species
AGGAUUAACGCUGGCGGCGUGCCUAACACAUGCAAGUCGAACGAGGUAGCAAUACCUAGUGGCAGACGGGUGAGUAACGCGUGGUCAACCUACCGUUGAGUGGGGGAUAACUAGCCGAAAGGUUAGCUAAUACCGCAUACGAGUCUCGGGGGCAUCCCUGGGCCUUAAAAGGAGCAAUCCGCUCGAUGACGGGACCGCGUCCCAUUAGCUAGAUGGUGGGGUAAUGGCCUACCAUGGCUCCGAUGGGUAGCUGGUUUGAGAGAGCGACCAGCCACACUGGGACUGAGAAACGGCCCAGACUCCUACGGGGGGCAGCAGUGAGGAAUUUUCGGCAAUGGGGGAAACCCUGACCGAGCAACGCCGCGUGCAGGAGACGGCCUUCGGGUUGUAAACUGCUUUUCUUUGGGUACGAGCAAGGACGGUACCAGAGGAAUCAGCCCCGGCUCACUACGUGCCAGCAGCCGC